UGCCUACGGGAGGCAGCAGUAGGGAAUCUUCCACAAUGGGCGAAAGCCUGAUGGAGCAACGCCGCGUGGGUGAAGAAGGUCUUCGGAUCGUAAAACCCUGUUGUUAGAGAAGAAAGUGCGUGAGAGUAACUGUUCACGUUUCGACGGUAUCUAACCAGAAAGCCACGGCUAACUAUGUGCCAGCAGCCGCGGUAAUACAUAGGGAGCGAGCGUUAUCCGGAUUUAUUGGGUGUAAAGGGUGCGUAGACGGGAAUACAAGUUGGUUGUGAAAGCCCUCGGCUUAACUGAGGAACUGCAACCAAAAC
rnacentral:rRNA from 1 species